rnacentral:lncRNA from 1 species
GUUUGUUCACGUGGUGGAAUCCCAAAAGAAGGAGUGGAAGCAUGCAAUGCUUCUUGAGACUUAGACUGAGAACCAGUACACUAUAACUUUCAUCACAUCCUGCUGGCCAAAGCAAAUCCAAAUUCAAGAGGAUCAUGGCGGCCACUGUGUUGGAGAUAGACUAAAAAGGGACAGAGCCAGAAGCAAGGGACCAGCUGGGAGGCCACUCCAACUACACAGCGCCAGAGCCCAUGAAGCGAGGUCAGGUCCUGAUGCUGCUGUGGAUCGAUGGCCCUCGGACGCCCGCGUGAGGCUGCGGCGGCUCAGCAAUUUCCUGCCAUCACUUGCUGUGCACAAAUGAAAUCACUUCCAGUGACCUAAUGCAUGCUGCUGCCACCGAGAAAACUGAAAAAAGAGGUGAAGAGGGAGCCGCAGGAGAAGCCGGGGAGCACAGGUGCUCUCAGGCUGUGUCUCUAGGGUGCAGUGAGACUGGAAGGGCAUUUGCAACCCAGGAAGGCAGCUCGCUGUCCAGAAACACGCCUGCCUCCCUUUGCCCACUUGUGAAGUCAUCAGAGGCUACCUGAGAGCCGAGCAUGGGCUUCUGAGGGGUCUGCAAAGACCCUGAACUUGUCUGCAGGCUUUGGUGUGAGUGUGCAGGUUAUCUGGGAAGAUUUCCCAAAGAAUCUGUGCCCCUCAAAAGGUGGCAUUGCCUUAAAGAGCUGGCAGCUUCCCCUCCGGGUUCCCUGAAUAUCGCCAGAGUGAAUUAGCACUGGGAGCUCCAAGAUGUCCUUGCUGGCAGUGGCCAUGGGUGCUGGUCUAUCCACAGCCCCCUGAAGCCCAAGGUGGAAGGUCAGUCCAGCUGCCUUUCUGCUUCCCUGGACUCCCUGCUGUAGCCCCAGCCCUGGAGCCAGCGUGACCCUGGGGGAAGCCUGCCUCUCACUCCAGAGGCAACCUGGGCCCCGCACAACCAGGGCAGCCCUCCCCCCGAGGGAAGAGAAGUGAGGGAAGGGAAGCCACACUCUGGAAUCAGGCGCAGUGCCCAUCACUUCAGAGCAUCCAUUUACUUCUUACAACACCUGCGACAUGGACCUCAUUGUCCCCAUCUUCAAAAGGGUGAAGCUAAGGCCUGGAGACAUUCACUUGCUCAAGAUUACACUGAGACCUCUCUGUUGGGUCAGGUGUGCAGGCCUGCUGCCCCCAGAGCCAAGGCUUUUCAGCCCCAGGACACAAGAGUUCGUUCGGGGGGGGGGGGCAGUCUGCGAACCAUUGUGUUAUAGCUGUGGUUCCCCCACAGCAGUGUUUGCUCCCACGGUCCAGCAUUUGCACGUCCUGUUUCCACUGUCUGCGGGUCCCGCUCAGCCACUGUGGACUUGAGAAAAAAUCCACUCGCCUGUCAGCCCUCAGCUCAGCUUUCUUCUGUGCUCGGAAACCCUCUCUGCCCUCCCCCAGCCUCCCCCCCGCCCCCGCAGCCGAUUUCAGUCCUUUCUUCUCAGCUCCCAAAGCACAACACAGACUUUUAUUAAAGGACACAACACGGAGUUCCCGUCGUGGCGCAGUGGUUAGCGAAUCCGACUAGGAACCAUGAGGUUGCAGGUUCGGUCCCUGCCCUUGCUCAGUGGGUUGACGAUCCGGCGUUGCCGUGAGCUGUGGUGUAGGUUGCAGACGCGGCUCGGAUCCAGCGUUGCUGUGGCUCUGGUGUAGGCCGGUGGCUGCAGCUCCGAUUGGACCCCUAGCCUGGGAACCUCCAUAUGCCUCGGGAGCGGCCCAAAGAAAUAACAAAAAGACAAAAAAAAAAAAAAAAAAAAAAAAA